UUAUUUAAUGGCCGCGGUAUUUUGACCGUGCAAAGGUAGCAUAAUCAUUAGUCUAUUAAUUGUGGACUUGCAUGAAUGGUUGGACGAAAUAUUGACUGUCUCAUAUUGAUAAUUAGAAUUUAAUUUUUUAGUCAAAAAGCUUAAAUUUUAUUGUAAGACGAGAAGACCCUGUAGAUCUUUAUUUCUUUAUGUUUCUUUUAUAUUUGGGUUGUAUUUUAAAGUUAUUUUUGGAUAUUUUGUUGGGGUGACAGGAGGAUAUGUUUAACUCCUUAUUUUUUAUACAUUUAUUUUUGAUUGUUUGACCUUUUAUUAUUGUUUUAAGAUUAAGAUACCUUAGGGAUAACAGCGUAAUUUUUUUUAAGAGUUCGUAUCGACAAGAAAGAUUGCGACCUCGAUGUUGGAUUAAGAAUAUUUUAAGGUGUAGGUGCUUUAGUUAAUAGGUCUGUUCGACCUUUAAAUUCUUACAUGAUCUGAGUCAAAAACC
rnacentral:rRNA from 1 species